GACGAACGCUGGCGGCAUGCCUAACACAUGCAAGUCGAGCGAGCAGAACCCUUCGGGGUGAAGCUAGCGGCGGACGGGUGAGUAACACGUGGGCAACCUGCCUCAUAGAGGGGAAUAGCCUUCCGAAAGGAAGAUUAAUACCGCAUAAGAUUGUAGCUUCGCAUGAAGCAGCAAUUAAAGGAGCAAUCCGCUAUGAGAUGGGCCCGCGGCGCAUUAGCUAGUGGUGAGGUAACGGCUCACCAAGGCGACGAUGCGUAGCCGACCUGAGAGGGUGAUCGGCCACAUUGGGACUGGGACACGGCCCAGACUCCUACGGGAGGCAGCAGUGGGGAAUAUUGCACAAUGGGGGAAACCCUGAUGCAGCAAUGCCGCGUGAGUGAUGACGGCCUUCGGGUUGUAAAGCUCUGUCUUCGGGGACGAUAAUGACGGUACCCGAGGAGGAAGCCACGGCUAACUACGUGCCAGCAGCCGCCGCCG
rnacentral:rRNA from 1 species